AGGACGAACGCUGGCGGCGUGCUUAACACAUGCAAGUCGAGCGGUAAGGCCUCUUCGGGGUACACGAGCGGCGAACGGGUGAGUAACACGUGGGUGACCUGCCCUCAGCUCUGGGAUAAGCCUGGGAAACUGGGUCUAAUACUGGAUAUGACUGCGCAUCGCAUGGUGUGUGGUGGAAAGUUUUUUCGGCUGGGGAUGGGCCCGCGGCCUAUCAGCUUGUUGGUGGGGUGAUGGCCUACCAAGGCGACGGACGGGUA
rnacentral:rRNA from 1 species